rnacentral:rRNA from 1 species
UUCCGGUUGAUCCUGCCGGACCCCACUGCUAUCGGGAUAGGACUAAGACAUGCUAGUCGCUGAAACGAGGCACGGUAAACAGCUCAGUAACACGUGGCUAAUCUGCCCUUAGGACAAGAAUACCCCCGGGAAACUGGGGCUAAUUCUCGAUAGGUGAAGAACUCUGGAAUGGUCUUUGCCUAAAAUGCUCGUUCGCCUAAGGAUGAGGCCGCGACCGAUCAGGUUGUUGGUGAGGUAACGGCCCACCAAGCCUUUAACCGGUGCGGGCCGUGGGAGCGGGAGCCCGGAGAUGGGCACUGAGACAAGGGCCCAGGCCCUACGGGGCGCAGCAGUCGCGCAAACUUUGCAAUACACGAAAGUGUGACAGGGCUAUCCCGAGUGCCGUCCGCUGAGGAUGGCUUUUACCCAGUCUAGAACGCUGGGGGAAUAAGGAGAGGGCAAGUCUGGUGUCAGCCGCCGCGGUAAUACCAGCUCUCCGAGUGGUGUGGAUGUUUAUUGGGCCUAAAGCAUCCGUAGCUGGCCAAGUUAGUCCCCUGUUAAACCCACCGAAUUAAUCGUUGGUUCGCGGGGGAUACUGCUCGGCUAGGGGACGAGAGAGGCAGACGGUAUUUUCGGGGUAGGGGUGAAAUCCUAUAAUCCCGGGAAGACCACCAGUGGCGAAGGCUGUCUGCUAGAACGCGCCCGACGGUGAGGGAUGAAAGCUGGGGGAGCGAACCGGAUUAGAUACCCGGGUAGUCCCAGCUGUAAACGAUGCAGGCUAGGUGUUUGGACGGCCACGUGCCGUUCUAGUGCCGCAGGGAAGCUGUUAAGCCUGCCGCCUGGGGAGUACGAUCGCAAGAUUGAAACUUAAAGGAAUUGGCGGGGGAGCACCACAAGGGGUGAAGCUUGCGGUUUAAUUGGAGUCAACGCCGGA